CUAGCCCCUACUGCAACAGUGCUUCUUAACAAGGAAAAACAGGAAUUUGACUAACAGAGAAGCGCCAAAAGAAGAGAAUUGAAGAACUGGAACGAGAGAGAUUUUCUCCAUGGACAGUUGUCAUCCCUUGCAGUGCAACCGAAAGAAGUCUAAAAAGAAGCACCUCAAGGGAGCCAAGAAAUCUAAGAAAGAGCGCAAAAAGUUUCGGCAGCAUGUACAAACACCAAGUGAGAUUGAACAGCGGUACAAAUCCAUUGCCAAAACAUUGCCAAAAGUGAAGACUAUGACCAGGGCAUUGACAGGAACACCAUGGUGUCCACCUCACCAAUGGAGAGCUAGCUAUUGCAGAUCCCAAGGCAUAUCAGGAGCUAC